rnacentral:lncRNA from 1 species
UGAAACUUGAUGUGCUAUCCAGACACAUAUGAUCAGAAAAGAUCUAGAGUGCAAAGAGCUGCCUGAGGAGCAAAAUGUGGUUUUAAUGUUGUGGAAAGAUCACUUGCAAGUAUAUAAGACUGUAUAAAGAAGAGGACUGUACGCAAGUGGGGUGAAAAAAAAGGAUACGCGAAUGUGCAUAUGACUGAAUAGGGAGGAAGGUCAGGGCUAGAAAGGAGGCUACAUAAAAAGGGGCAAUGGAGAGUGCACAGGAAAGACACAGGAAGGUCAAGUCGAGCAAGGUAGAAACAGGAGUAGCUAGAGCCAUUGGGAAUCCAUUUUGAAACAAGAAGGAGUUUUGAAAGGGAAUAGGAAAGUAAGUGUCUUGAAGUAAAAGAUAAAUAUGGAUGGAGAAGGAAGAAAUUCUGGAUGAUAGAGAUGAUAAAAAUAUUUAUUAAGAAAUGAAGUCAGGUUCAGUGUAUGAAAUGGAAAGGAAUUUUUCAGAAUUUUAAGAAAGGGGAAGUUCCUCUUGGAAAAGAUAUAGCAACCAUCAGGGAAUGACCUUUUCAUUUCAGAAGAAGUGGGUGAGGAAGGUGGUGUGAGCAUCAGGUAUAUUCUGGACCAUUUCAAGUGCUGGUGAGAAGAAAGGAACUCUUUGCCUGAACUGGGCUUGGUUUUCCAAGUGCUGCUUUGGAAAUGAAGACCCAGAGAUGCAGAGCUUAUGGUAGUUCAUAAAUCUUUAUGUUCUAUUAUCUUUCAUCUGCCAAUAAAGUUCAUUUUCAAUAAUGCCCACCAUUGCUGUGCCCAGAAUAACCACAGGC